AUCAGACUGCUACCCUCUUAUGCUUGGCAACUGGUCUACCUCUGGGCUACAACCCUACCCCUUUUCCUUCUUACUUUUCUAAACUGGUACUUUGGAAUGAAAAUUUACAUUGAAGGAAGUUAAACUGCAAGGAAAAUUUAUUCUAAAUUACUAUAAUAAGAAAGCGGGAUUAGAAAUCAGUCUGAGUUUAUGGGGGCAGGGGGUGGCGCAGAGGAGGCAGAGUUUUUAAAAGAAAGGAUGGGAAAAAAGGGUGAUUGUUUUGGGCCAAUGGCUUCAACCAGAGGAAGUGUCUCCUCAGCUAAGUUAAAGUGUGGGGCUGGCUCCUCCCUUCCCAGAAGAGAACUAGAGACUGAGGGCGUUACCUCCCUUGAUGUUUACAUUACAAAGGGAUGGUUCCCAGUUCUUUCAUUUAAAUAGACUGGGUUCUUAAAACUGGAGAGAGGCUUUAAAAAUAUUUACACAUCAAACAACCAGAAUAAGAUUUUGAAUUACAAGUGUUCAAUAGAAUGAAGUAUUAGAAAGCCACAGGGCAGGAGAAAGCGGGUCUGUUGAUGAGACAACGUAAAGUUAAAUCGCUCGGAUUUGCCUUCACCCCAAAUUAUGUCAGUACCAAUGUUAUCUAAAAUUUUAGAGUCCCAGCCAGGGCAGGCAUGUUACCAGAGAAGUUAGGGCCCCUCUCAGGUUUUUAGUCAUGUUACUAGAAGAGCCACACAGAGGAGAAAGCUCAGGGAUAAUUUUAUUAGAGUUAUAAGAAAAGCCCAGGGCAGGCAGGGUUCGUGGAAGGCAAGGUUCCUAGCAGAGGGACAUAGAGACAAGGAAGAAGCAAGCGUAUUUUAGUUAGACAAGGGUUUGGUAAGCAGGCAGCCGUAAGGAAAGGGGAGCCUUUGGGGUGUUUGUGGGGAGCUUCAGAGAAAAGAGAAAGCCCCAAAUACCAAAAGUACCAUGCAGAACGUAAGUAAGUUCUGCCAACUUCUGAAAGGGACAGAAAAGAAGAAAAGGCGGGUUGCUGGGCCGGCCGGGGUCACGCUUUCAGAAAAUCGGGCAGGCUGAAACCAGCCACACAGCAGCAGCUCCAGACAGGGUUGAACGGAGCACAGGAAUGGAAUUCCGGGCAGGGAGCGUAAAUCUGCGUUCCUGGGAAUGGGUGGUUCCUUGGCCAGGUAUUGACCUGCCCAACUGGAUGAAUUCUUAAGCGGGGGAGAUAGCAACAUGUUUUCCACCCAGAAGCAGAUUCCAUUCUUUAGGCUAGGAAAUGAUGACUAACACUUGAAGACCAGGGGUGGGGUGAAGGGACAAAACUCAGAAAGGGCUUUGGUUUGUUCCCCUGGUCCCAAACGUGAACCUUUAUUGACCUUUCUGUAAUGUUUGGGUUUUGUCUUUUAAUAUAAUGACACAGAUGGAUUUGGGCUAUACUUGAUUAAGUACCUGAACAGCAUUUUUAAUAUUUGUGAUAUGAAAUGGGAUGUUUUAGUUAUGAGGACUAGUUAUAAUCCAUCCGGACUUUGGCAGCAAGCCGAGCUCCUUCGAGAUGCAGCCCUUGCCGACGACGUUGGUGAAGGUCGUUCGGUACUUUUAAUGCUCAACUUCUCAGUCUGUGUGAAGGGAAGGGAUGAACAGGGUUAUUGUGAGGUUGGUAACCCAGAGGAAGGACACGCAUUGCCCAGGUGAGUUUCAGGCACGUAGGUGGGAUUUAAUGAGUAACUGUGAUGAAUACAGCAGUGGGAGAAGGUGCAGCUCCUGGCGUAGGGUGGGAAACAGACGCCUUGUUCUGCUCCAUAGUAAGAUUUCUGAAUCCGCUACAUAGAUUGCUCUGAAUGGAAAGGGCACACCGCAGCCCUUUUAGUAUUAGAGAAAAUGGGCUCCAUUAAAAUGUUUCCUCAGGGGCUGAAAAUAUAGCUCUGUUGGCAGGUACUUACUUAGCAUAUAUGAGGCCCUGGGUUCAAGUCCUAACAGUGCAUCAACGGGGUAUGGAAGUGUAUAUCUAUGACCCUAGCACUCAGGAGGUAGACACGGGAGAAUCAGACAAAGGUCUACCUCAUAGCAACAACUACAUAGCAAAUUCAAGCCAACCAGGGUUACGUGAGACACUGUCCAAUGAGAGAGAAAAGUCUCAACUAACAGAUGAUUGGCUGCUUGUAUAAUUAGUGUAUACAUACUCUUACCACAUUUGGUUAAACUUGAAAAUACUAUAUACACAUAUAUCUGUAUCUACUAUAUAUACAUAUAUAUGCAGAUACAGUGUCAUACUGCACUAAACAGCAAUACUCAUUCACUAAGGGCCACAAAAUACACUUUAAGCAGCUUAUAUAUGUCCAGCAUCAAAGUACCAACUUUGUGAUAUGUGACUCAUAUCACAACUUUAUUAGAAAAUGUUAAGAUGCCACAAAGUCUUUCUACAGUAUAGCACAUACCCUGUUGUGCUUUGGAAGGACACAAUACCAUGCAUUCCCACACUCUAAAAACUCACCAACCAUGAAAGGAGAAAUGAAAUGUAUUCAGAAAAAUAUUGUCUAAAUCUAUCUUUCAUGAAAAUCUGAAGCCCUGGAAGAAUGAAGCUGUGUUCUAUUGUAAUUGGUGCCAAAUCCCUGUUUUGAUAACAAAGUUGGUUUCCUGUGGCGUUUUCUUGGUACCUUAUUAAUUUUGUUUCCUCAGCUGCUAGAAGGGGUAAGCCGGCAUUUUCUGAAUUCCACUCCAUGGGGCAUGCUGCCUCCAUGAAGAGCCAAUAUGCUUUCUUGUCAUCAGCUCAUAUGUUCCAAGGAGCAGCAAAUGUUACAUUUGGCGCCAGCUCUCAGGGCUCAUCCCCACACACUGACAUGUUAAAGAGGUCACUGUCAUCAUGAUUAGAUCCUCACUCAGUCACACACUGUUAUACAAGCCUGGGAGUGGUAACAAAACAAGAGACACUUUAAUAAAUUGUCCAGGUUAACAAAAAAAAGCUGUGUUAAAGAUACCAGCGCAACAAUCAAAUACAUUUAAAAAUAGUAAUAAACUUCUCUGUUUGUUUUUAAAAAGAAAGACAAGUAUGAGCUGGCUACAUCUGGACAUGCAGAAACCCUUUGUUUCAUUGAGUGAACUUGUGAAAUCUGGGUAUCUGAGUUCAAAUCCAAGUUCAUCCCUCUGAUGGGCAAUCAAAACCAGAUCACUGAACCUGUGCUCCUGACUUUAGCACCUGCAAAAUGACAUGAAUAAUAUUAAAUGCGAUGCCAUUAUUGUGCUAAUAACAAUGAGACUGGGCCUGUGAAUUGCUCAGUGUAGUCUGCUGCACAUAAACCUGGAUAGAAAAUAGCUAUUAUUAGUACUAGCAAAUAAGGAGCAAAUCAUAUAAUCAAGGAAAUAAAUCUACUUCCCAAACCUAAAGGAUGCAUUAGUAGCUGGCACUUUAGCCUCUAGCAAGGUGUUUUUAUAACGUGCUUCUGAAGUCCACCAGCGUACAGAGUCUGCUUGAGGACUACUACAACUGAGUAAGACAAGAUCUGCAUUUCAGCUUCAUGUGCUUGCUCUGCUGCAUGAGAAAAAGAUAUACGUCACAAGAUAUUUUGAUUUGGGGGAAGAAAAAAGCCUAGGGCUUUGCCCCCACAGAGUUUUUGAGACAAAGAAUGAUAUCUCUUUUCUUUUGGUUCUUCUUCCUAAGACAUUCAAGGAUACUCUGUGCAGCAUGGUCAUCCCACCCACACAAGAUCCAACCCCGUCCACUGUGGUUGGUGGCUUGUCUGCCAUAUUUUUCCAGUCUAGUCCUAACAGGGUCCCUUCUAAUAGGCUCAGAGGGGGAGGUAUCUAAUCUUUCACCCUGGCUAUUACACUUUAACUGGAAAAAAAAAAUAUGAUCAUUUCCCAGUAAAAGAAAGUUGAGCCAACAGUAGCUCCAUGCCUGGAAUAUGUAAAGAUGCUCCCCAAGGUGAAUACACCUAGUUCUAAAUCAGGAGGCCUGCACUCUACCCCACUACCCAGAAAGCCUGGGGCUUCGAAGGGUGUCGUGCUGACACCCCAGGCAGGAAGUGGGACACCUCAGACUCAGAAUGCACUCACAGUAGCAACUCCUCCCUGGAUUUCAUCCAGACUACAUUGUGGACUUUCAGAGAAGGAGAGGAAAGAAGAGAAAAUUUUAAAAAGAAGCUCUAAAACCUAAUCAAAAGAGUUCUUACUUCUAAGAGAGUAAACCACAUCAGCUCAGAUAGUCUUAGAUGAUUGCUUUCAUGAUCCCUAAAAAUGUAAACUAUCGUAACAAAAAUAUGAAAGACGGAGAUAUGUAGUUCACUCCAACAAUUGCAGCCAGAGAGCACUGAUCCAUUAAAGAUAGGAAGUUUCUUGGAUAAACAGAAACACGCUCCCAUGCAGUGCCACAAUUGAUGGUCUAAAACAACAUGGCCAUGAUUCAGAGGGCCAUUUUUGCCACCUGACUUCACAAGGCACUUCAUGAAAGGGAAGUGUUCAAACACAACUAUCCCUUCAGAGAGAGUGUCCCUGGUCAUCCCUGCUUCGGCCAACUGAACCAUGGAGGGAGGUCUGUACCACAGAUUGUCUAACUGUUGAGACAGCUGCUGAAUCAGUUGUUUUUGUAAGAAAGACAUGGAGAAAAUAAAUAGGUCAUCAUGCUUUUAUAAAGACCUUUGAUCAUUUCACAGCAGGUGAUCAGUUGCUACCCUGUCUGCUCUGAGCCUCAAAGUGACCCUUGGUGACAUACAAUUCAAGUGUCAUCAUCACGUUCUGAGCAAGAAGUGCUGGACAAGGGUACUGAGUUGCCCACCACUGCUUUAGCAAGUUAGGGACAGUUUCUGGAUUAGAAAUUAAUGCUCAAUCCAGUAUUAUCCUGCUCACGCUGCAUCAAAUAUGGACGAUUUGGUGGGCAUGCAGAAUUCCAUCAGCCAGGGACAGCUAGAUCCAAGAGGUGAAGAGGACUGUGCCCGGGAGAGACAGAAACACACAGCUGCUGAGGGCAGGUGCCUGCUGUUCUGUGCUGUUACGUGCUCAAGGAGAAAAUGACAACAGAUUACUCUGCAAUCAUGAGUGUAGACGCAUUAAACGGAAGGAAGUGUAAUAGUCACAGACUUUAGGCUUAGGAAGCCUAAAUUACCUAAGCUCGUUGAGACUGUUUCUUUCCCCUUAAUACCCAUAGCCACAGAGCUAUGGCAUGUGGGGAAUAAAUCCGAUAAUACGUACAUAGAGCACAGCAGAGAGCCUCGUUAGCAAUAACUAGGAAAGACAAUAGUUGUUUGCUUAGUAAAAUAGGAGAAUAAAUUCAGGUUUUACAGUGAAUCAAACAUGAUUGGAGCUGCACUGAGCACCAGUUAAUGAUUACGGAGUAUUAGAAAUAUCUACGAUGGAUACUGUUUGGGAGGAAGUUAAGAGGCUUUUGCUAAUACUGCAUAUUUACGUUAAGCACAUCUGAGGUUUGGGGAAAUAGUCCAUGGAGUUUUCCAAAAGUCUGCCUUUACUUAUAAAAAUCACAUGAAACAAAAACUCGGCUAUCAGCCUCCGUCAGGGAGCUGAGAGAAGUGUCACAAUACCCACACAUCCAUGCACGUGUGCUUGCGUGUACAGUGCCUCAUGCUCUAGCCGGAAUCAUGGUACCCUAUCUACCUAUAACCAGGUUCUGCACACAUCCCUGACUCCAGGCCUUGGCAUGAUCCUUUGGUGUUGUGUGAGACUGACGAUGCUUUCUAGGUCCAUGGAUUUCUGAGUGUUGCAGGAAUAGAAACUACUUCCCUUAUGAAGAAGCGAAGAAUUCAGUAAUAGAGAGUAGCAUCUACAUCUUAAUACAUGGGUCCUCUUACUUCGUGCUUUUGAAAUGUAAUCCAUUUGGAUGGAAACCAUAUUUAAACGCUCAGCCUCCUUGGCUUGGAAACUGGUGUGCUCCGCUGCUGUUUGUGUGACUUUUCUUCUGCCCAACUGUUGAGGGUGUUUGGUCGGAAGAGGGCCUGCUUUAGCACCCUCAUACCAGCAGCAGCAGGACUGACAAGGACUUUGAACUUCCACAACUGCUCUGUGGAAAUGAUAAACAGCUCUCGCGGUUAGCUAUCAACUACUUCUUCAUAGCCCUCUGGACUACUGUCCACUGCUAUGGCAGUACAAAAGAAACCCACACGAUGAAGUGAACACUGCUAACUUGGCAAACUUUGAGUAACCAAGUGACUUCAGACACUAAGACUAAGCAGUAUGUUAUAAGGGAGUGUAGAAAAAGCAGUGUGAUAUUUGCAUUAAUGCAUUCUUAAUAAUUAAUCCCAGUUCUUCCAAUUUUCCUCUUUCUUGUUAGGUGGUAUGGGAAAUGGAGGUUAUGGAUGUAUAGAGGUAAAAAUGUACCUUUCUAAAAAGCUUCAUUUACUAUUACUGAGUGUGUGUGCAUGUGUGCAUAUAACGUAUGUGUGGUCAUCUGCAUGCCACAGCACACAUAUGGAAGUCAAAGGACAGUCUUGUGGACUUGGUUCUUUCUUUCUCUUUACAUGGGUUCAUGGCUUCCAGGGAUUAAACUCAGGUCAUCAGACUUACACAUCCAGCACUUAUGUGAUGAGCCAUCUUGAAAGCCCUAAACACAGGUCUUAUUCAAAAGCAUUCAAUCCUUGUAAUCCCAGUACUUCAAGGGCAGUAUGAGCUAUGUAGUGAGUUCCAGGUCAGCCUAUAGCUGGGUCUCAUCCAUGUAUGCAUGUAUACUUACACACACACACACACACACACACACACACACACACACACACACACACACACACACACACUCACACACACACAUUCAUAGAUUCUCUCAGAAGAAUACUGGAAUUUGCAAUAUUAGUGCAAAUGCUUUACUCGUUUGCUUGACAACUUCCCUCAAAACUUUGAAAUGAAUCACACUUGCAUAAUGGUAACAUUCAUGCUAUUUCACUCCUAGACAUUGACCAACUCACAUCAAUCUCUUCCCAUAAUCCAUUAGGAAACAUACGUCCUUCUCAGCAGGUAUACUCAAUCUUCAUUAGAAGUUAGAAGGUAGAGAAAUUGCUAAGAAAUAGAGUCGCCAGAAACUGUCAUCAAAGAACAUAUAAUCUAGUCUGAAACGGAGUGAAAUCUAACAGAAAUGUAACAUUUCAGGAAAAUUCCAUCACACUAUAGAGUCUGCACUGUACCGAGCGAUGCAUGCCUGAGACUAUUUAUUUAUUUUAAAUGUCAUCAAUGUUCCUGGCUUACUUCCUAUGACAGUUGGAAAAGUCAAUGUCAGCACCAUGGAGCUCUUCUCAUCUCUGGUUGCCUGUGUGCAUUCUUGCUAUUCUUCUCAUGGCGUGUUUGUUUCUCAUCAAUGGGUGCAUGUUGCUUUGAUUUUAGAAGUACUUACUCUUGCAUUGCCAUAGGGUCUACACAUAUUUUCUCUCGUCCCUUCCACUUGUACUUUUACCUUGUUAGUGGUGUCUGUCAGUUUACUUAAGGAGUCCGUGCUGGUCUUUUCAUUUACGGCUCAUGUCACUGUCCACCAUGUGUAGAUAUGAUAAGCUUUAUGUCCACUUUCAGAUAGCGUCCCAGUUUCCCAAACUCAUGGUUCUGCAGCCACUCUGGGUCAGUUCAUUUUCUCAAGAGCAAACCCUUUCCUUCCUCCAGAUCAUUCCAGCUGUGCUGCUGCUACUUCAGAAUCAUAUAUUUAAUUAUGUGUAUUCGUACGUCUGGGGGUGGGUAUGAGCACAAGAGUGUAGGUACCCACAGAUGCCAGAGAGAUGUAGAAUCCCCUGGGGCCGGAGUUAGAAGCGGUUGUGAGCUCCAAGAGCACUAUGUGCUCCUGAGCUCUUAACCACUGAACUGCCUCUGCAGCCCUGAUGUUACUUCUUAUUAGUGGACUCCUCUGGCUGUUUGGUUUUGUUUCCUGUUUGCUGGUUUAUUAUUUUUCUUCCUUUUUGAGACAGAAUCUCAUUGUGAUUGGUCUGGAACUUGCUAUACAGCUCAGGCUGGCCUCUAAACAACAGAGACCUGCCUGCAGGCUUUCCGGGUGCUGAGAUGAAAGGAAAAUGCUACCCUUUCUCAUGCCUCCGAAACAUCCCCUGUUCCUGCACAGCACGUAGAGUUUUCUUCCACCGCAGUUCUCUCAGAUUUUAUGUUAUAUAUGACUUCAAAUGCUUGUUGUGUAUAUAGUUGUCUUAGUAAAUUUCAAGUCUGUGAGGGGAUACAUCAAGUAUGCUUGGUUACCUGCUAUUCCAACCUGUCCCUGGACCCUGACUAUAGCGUACUACGUAAUUGUGCUUAGAGCAGGAGGGGAAAUUCUUAGAGAACACAUCAUCAAAGAUAAAUAAAAAACUAAUUAUACAGAAAGGAAGAAAAUGAACCUGUGAGCAGUAGGAAAGUAGAACUUUCUUUUACAUGGGGAAGCUUGGAAAUUAAAAGUAGUGCUGUGGCUAUACCUGUCUCAAUCAAUAAAGAAAUGGUAAGUUUGAGUAGGUACCUGUGAGUGAAGCACCAAGGCCCAGGAGAAACUAGAUUCACUUGUACUUUACUAAUCACCAUGAUGCUUUCAAGGGUUUUUUUUGUUAAUAAAACUAAAUGGAGUAACUUACCAUAUGAAAAUUCUAGAAGCGUUGCAGAUGAUGAAGCUAAGGACAUGUAGUUUACAAUACAGCGGUCUGUAAAUGCCUUGAUACUCUAGCUUCCCCUAGCUAAGAGGGCAAAGGUGCAUUUCUGUGUAUCUUCAUGUUAAAUGUAAGGAAAGUCAUGAAGGAUGUAGUCUCUCAGCAGCCUCUUUCUCAUGAGAAGCCAGUUGAGGCAGCACCCCACCUUAUAGGUGACUGUCAUACAGGCACACUAUGACCUCUGUGCCUAGCAUCCUGCUUCGUAUAAAACCUGAGUUUCAAGAGAAGAUAAUAAUUCUCUUGAUUUCGGGCUGGAGAGAUGGCUCAGAGGUUAAGAGCACCGACUGCUCUUACAGAGGUCCUGAGUUCAAUUCCCAGCACCCACAUGGUGGCUCACAACCAUCUGUAAUGAUAUCUGGCGCCCUCUUCUGUAUACGUAAUAAAUAAAUAAAUCUUUUAAAAAAAAUAAUUUUCUUGAUCUCAAAAUGGUGGCCCCUGAAGCUUCCUUUAAACAUAGGCUUUGGCAGUUAGGGAAAGAGCAGAGAAAAAAAAAAAAAUCAGAUAUCCCAUAGCCAAUCAGAUUGCAGUGUUGUACUGGUCCCUCCUUCCUACUGAAUCUCCUACUCACUGAGGAAAAACUGACACCACCCAGCAUCCCGUUUCUCAAGCCUCCUGUUUGCCCUCCAGGAGUGAACUGCAGAAUAGGUAAGACAUAGUAGGAGCUGGCAGACAAGCAAGAGGGGUUUGAAAUGCAGAAAAGCUACUAUUUCUCACAAAACCCCAGCAGAGUUUUAAAUUCAAACACGCCACGCACAUCCCUGCGCCUUUCAUCCUGCGAAUGUAGUGUCUAAGCAUGCCUUCUUCAGAGUGAUCACAUCACACUGGCUUAUUUCAGCCUCUGUUAUAGCAAAGGACAAAAAUGAGAAAAAUAAUAGCCCCCUUUUUUUGUUGCUGUUAGGUAUAGGAGAGAAAAAAUUGUACUAAUCUCAAUUGGCGAACACCCCAGGAGCCUACAGUUCCAAUUUUCUUUUCACAGUAUUAAUGAAACUGGGUGUGGGAAAAGUCAAAUCUUCCCCAUAAAUCUGAAACCAUUUUCAAGGCUUGCCUCAAAUUAUAAUAACAUCCAUAUAUAAGACACGGCAUGGAGAUCUAUUCCAGCGAGAUUAUUUUAGGGAAGUGGUUUUCUAGAUGGGGUAGAGAUAGAAAUCUGAAUGUAAUUACUUUAAGUUAGAUCUAUGAUAAAACCAGGAGACUUUGCAAAAAAAAAAUCUAAUCUAUACAUCUUGCCAACAGUGUUUUAAAAGGAUCGUCCUAAGAUAAAUACCUAUCCAGUGGUUCUACUUAGCAAUGUGAUACAUAUAGAACAGUCUGGGGUUUUAUGAUCCUACAUAUGCCCUUCCACUUCUGAAAUAUAUAGCUCACAUUCCAAUUUUUAUCAUUGGUAUGUUUUACUCUUUCUUAUUAUUUCUUAAGACUGGUAAUUUCUUAGUCUUUCUUAAAGCUCAAAUGCCGAAUUUUCAUUGUCAUCAGUAUACAGACAUGCCCAUGUUUCAUCCUUGAUGUGACAGGGACAUGCUUGAUGUCAAAGCUAUAAGUUAGUGCUGUGCAUUGAGGAAAUAAAACCAUCCUGGAAUACUGCCUGGAAACUACAGUCUUACCCUGAAAGAGAAUUUUGGAAACAACAUAAAUAUAAUAAGAUUACAGUGGAGGACCUGCUCAUUCAAGUGCACAAAAUGGUUUCAUAAAAAUGGCAGUUUGAGUGAUAAAGAGAGCAUGUGAUGGCAUGCCACUGCCUUGGCAAACUUAUUAUUGGAAAUAUAAAGUGUCCCUAUCUACGGCCAAACAAACCCUCAGUCUAGGUUUUAUGGAUUGAGACCUUAAAUAGCAUUUCUCAUCUAGAUUUUUAUUUAUUCUAUUUUAUUAAUUCUGCUGCUAUUGUAGACAAAUCCAAGGCUUUGUGAAUGAAUGACUUAUACACUACCAUUGAACCUUUCAGGCUGUCCAGUUUCAUUUUGUUUUUAUUUAUUCUUUGAGAAUGGCAUACUUAUAUACAAUGAUGAAGUAUCCAACUACUUUCUGAAUACUUAUCCUUGUGCCUAUAAAUUACUACAGGUUUCACCCCUCAUUGAAGAAGCUUCUUUUUCCAUCUUUAUUAUUUUUUUAUUUCUAUUUUGUUUUUAAUUGUAUGUAGUACAUGCAAGUGAAUGAAACACCCAUGGAGACCAAAAGAGGAGUUGAGUCCCCAGGAGCUGUAGUUACAGGUCAUUGUAACACCCCUGGCGUGUGUGACAGGAACUGAACACAGGUCUUCUAAAGUACAGUAUAUGCACUACUAACCUCUGAGCCAACCACCUCCAUUUUAUUUUUCAAUAACAAUAUUUAGGGCUUAAAAUGUGACUCAGUUGGUUGAGUGCUUGCUUGGCGUGUAGAAAGCCCCAGAUUCAACCUUUAGCAACUCAUAGAUCAAAUACGAUAUGCAUAUGUGUUAUCCCAGCCCCUAAGGUGUGGACACAGGAAGACUAGAACUUCACUGUUAGCUUCAGCUACAAGUAUGUAGUUUGAGGCAAGCUUGGGAAGCUUUAGGGUGCCUCAAAAAGAAAGAAAGAGAGAGAAAGAAAGAAAGAGAGAGAGA